rnacentral:rRNA from 1 species
UACGGGGGGGCGAAGCGUGUUCGGUGAAUUACUGGGCGUAAAGGGCGCGUAGGCGGCCUUCUAAGUCGGACGUGAAAUCCCUCGGCUUAACCGAGGAACUGCGUCCGAUACUGAAAGGCUUUGAAUCCGGGAGAGGGAUGUGGAAUUCCAGGUGAUAGCGGUGAAAUGCGUAGAUAUCUGGAGGAACACCGGUGGCGAAGGCGGCAUCCUGGACCGGCAUUGACGCUGAGGCGGCGAAAGCUAGGGGAGCAAACGGG